rnacentral:rRNA from 1 species
UACGGAGGGGGCGAGCGUUAUUCGGAAUUAUUGGGCGUAAAGGGCGCGUAGGCGGCCUGAUAAGUCAAAGGUGAAAUCCCUCGGCUCAACUGAGGAAUUGCCUUUGAAACUGUCAGGCUUGAGGCCGGGAGGGGGUGGCGGAAUUCCCAGUGUAGCGGUGAAAUGCGUAGAGAUCGGGAGGAACACCCGUGGCGAAGGCGGCGAACUGGGCCGACCCUGACGCUGAGGCGCGAAGGCGUGGGGAGCGAACGGG